rnacentral:rRNA from 1 species
UGGGGGAUAUUGCACAAUGGGCGAAAGCCUGAUGCAGCGACGCCGCGUGGGGGAUGAAGGCCUUCGGGUUGUAAACUUCUUUUGCUCUGAACAAGGCGCACCAUGGGGUGUGUUGAGUGUAGGGGUUGAUUAGCGCCGGCUAACUACGUGCCAGCAGCAGCGGUAAUACGUAGGGCGCGAGCGUUGUCCGGAAUCAUUGGGCGUAAAGGGCUUGUAGGUGGCUGGUUGCGUCUGUCGUGAAAGCUCAUGGCUUAACUGUGGGUUUGCGGUUGUGACGGGCUGGCUGGAGUGCAGUAGGGGAGGCUGGAAUUCCUGGUGUAGCGGUGGAAUGCGCAGAUAUCAGGAGGAAUACCGGUGGCGAAGGCGGGGCUCUGGGCUGUUACUGACACUGAGGAGCGACAGCAUGGGGAGCGAACAGG